GCCAGCUUGGCAUACUGGUUUAAGCACUAGACUAGGACUCUGGAGGCCAGGGUUCAAAUCCCCAUUUGGCC